rnacentral:lncRNA from 1 species
AGGGAAUCGAACUCAGGACCUUGUGCUUGUGAGGCAGGAUUUGGAACCACUGAGCUAAAUCCCCAGCCCAAUAAUCUAAUUUUUGAAAAAGACAAAACUAUGCAAAAUUUCCAAAUGAAGUCAAAAGGAAAUGAGAGAAAACCACCUUGGCACUUGUGUUGAUCCCAUUAAGUCCAACUUUCUAUUUGUGUAGCAGCUUCAAAGUUUAGCGAAUUAAACACAGUUCCAAAGAGGGCCCAGGUUGAUGUAAGGGCUACCUCAGAGGGUUUGUGAAGAGCCUGGCAAUGUUCCACACCUUGGUAUAAUAAAAAGUUCCUGCUGCUGUGAGGCUUAUAGCCCAUAGUAAAAGACAAGUAAAGACAUAAAUUUUAGGAUGAGAGGUGAUAAGUAACAAGAAGAGAUACAAAGUGAAGAAAAGGACUAGAGAAUGACUGGGCAGGAAAUUUCCACUAGCACUGCUGCUUUAGAAGAUAUAGAUUCUUUGAAGAGUCAGAUUGACAGAACCUUUAACAAACUAGGCAAGCAAGUUACUCUGGAAAAAGCUUGGCUUCUGGGAAGAGGACAUCUGAUUACAGUGGAUCAACUCUUUGGGAGCAUCAUCAGUUUGAGGCCAAGAGAAAACCAUGCGGGACCUGAUUGGAUGAUGCAUAAGAUGCAUAAGAAUCUGAAGUCUUACAGCGAAGAAUGACCACAGGUAAGGGUGGGAUCUCUGAUCUCACUUCCAGCUUAUCUUGCCAAGUCAGUGGGGGAUACAGCCUGGUUCCCACCACUGCAACCCAGAGAAGAAUGUUCACAGCACUGAGCUCCUUUGCUUCUCCUCUCAUUCAAACCUGAGGAGCUGUGGUCCAUGUGUAAGGCUGG